rnacentral:rRNA from 1 species
AACGAACGCUGGCGGCAGGCUUAACACAUGCAAGUCGAACGCCCCGCAAGGGGAGUGGCAGACGGGUGAGUAACGCGUGGGAACGUACCCUUUACUACGGAAUAGCUCCGGGAAACUGGAAUUAAUACCGUAUGUGCCCUUCGGGGGAAAGAUUUAUCGGUAAAGGAUCGGCCCGCGUUGGAUUAGCUAGUUGGUGGGGUAAAGGCCUACCAAGGCGACGAUCCAUAGCUGGUCUGAGAGGAUGAUCAGCCACAUUGGGACUGAGACACGGCCCAAACUCCUACGGGAGGCAGCAGUGGGGAAUAUUGGACAAUGGGCGCAAGCCUGAUCCAGCCAUGCCGCGUGAGUGAUGAAGGUCUUAGGAUUGUAAAGCUCUUUCACCGGGGAAGAUAAUGACGGUACCCGGAGAAGAAGCCCCGGCUAACUUCGUGCCAGCCGCCGCGGUAA